AGCCGUACUCCGAAUGAACNUAGGNUUUAAGUUUGAUCAUGGCUCAGGACCAACGCUGUNCGGCGUGCCUAAUACAUGCAAGUCGAGCGAACAGAGAAGGAGCUUGCUCCUUUGACGUUAGCGGCGGACGGGUGAGUAACACGUGGGCAACCUACCUUAUAGUUUGGGAUAACUCCGGGAAACCGGGGCUAAUACCGAAUAAUCUAUUUCACCUCAUGGUGAAAUACUGAAAGACGGUUUCGGCUGUCGCUAUAAGAUGGGCCCGCGGCGCAUUAGCUAGUUGGUGAGGUAACGGCUCACCAAGGCGACGAUGCGUAGCCGACCUGAGAGGGUGAUCGGCCACACUGGGACUGAGACACGGCCCAGACUCCUACGGGAGGCAGCAGUAGGGAAUCUUCCACAAUGGGCGAAAGCCUGAUGGAGCAACGCCGCGUGAGUGAAGAAGGUUUUCGGAUCGUAAAACUCUGUUGUAAGGGAAGAACAAGUACAGUAGUAACUGGCUGUACCUUGACGGUACCUUAUUAGAAAGCCACGGCUAACUACGUGCCAGCAGCCGCGGUAAUACGUAGGUGGCAAGCGUUGUCCGGAAUUAUUGGGCGUAAAGCGCGCGCAAGCGGUCCCUUUAAGUCUUGAUGUGAAAAGCCAACGGGUUCAACCGAUGGAGCGGUCAUUGGAAACUGGGGAAUUGAGUGCAGAAGAAGGAAGUUGNAAUCCAAGGUGUAGCGGGAAAAUGNGUAGAGAUUGGAAGAACCAAUGGCGAAGGNAAUCUGGU
rnacentral:rRNA from 1 species